rnacentral:rRNA from 1 species
GGAAUAUUGGUCAAUGGGCGCAAGCCUGAACCAGCCAUGCCGCGUGCAGGAUGAAGCAUCUAUGGUGUGUAAACUGCUUUUAUACAGGAAGAAACAACUCUACGUGUAGAGUCUUGACGGUACUGUAGGAAUAAGGAUCGGCUAACUCCGUGCCAGCAGCCGCGGUAAUACGGAGGAUCCAAGCGUUAUCCGGAAUCAUUGGGUUUAAAGGGUCCGUAGGCGGCCUUGUAAGUCAGUGGUGAAAUCUCCCCGCUCAACGGGGAAACGGCCAUUGAUACUGCAGGGCUUGAAUUAUUGGGAAGUAACUAGAAUAUGUAGUGUAGCGGUGAAAUGCUUAGAUAUUACAUGGAAUACCAAUUGCGAAGGCAGGUUACUAUCAAUACAUUGACGCUGAUGGACGAAAGCGUGGGUAGCGAACAGGAUUAGAUACCCCAG